AGAUCUGAGAGCCAUCUGGCCACGACAUCUGUCUCCCCAUUGAUCACAGGGCUGGCUGAGCUGAUCUGGCUCACUGCGAGGGUGUCCCCUUCCCCCCCCCCCCAAUGCUCCGUGUGUGUCCCUCCCAAAACAGUGAAAGACAACAACCACUCCCGAUCAAGGAGGACCACUUUCUCACUCAAGGGUAUAGAGUAGCUGCUCUCCCUGCUUCAGCCUCAAAAAACUUUCAAAAAGAAAGGAAGGAAAUAAGGAAGGAAGGAAGGAAGGAAGGAAGG
rnacentral:snRNA from 1 species